rnacentral:misc_RNA from 1 species
GAUGAAGAACGUAGCGAAAUGCGAUAAGUAAUGUGAAUUGCAGAAUUCAGUGAAUCAUCGAAUCUUUGAACGCACAUUGCGCCCGCCAGUAUUCUGGCGGGCAUGCCUGUUCGAGCGUCAUUUCAACCAUCAAGCCCCAGGCUUGUGUUGGGGACCUGCGGCUGCCGCAGGCCCUGAAAACCAGUGGCGGGCUCGCUGUCACACCGGGCGUAGUAGAUUUUAUCUCGCUCAGGGCGUGCUGCGGGUCCCGGCCGUUAAAAGCCUUUUUUACCCAAGGUUGACCUCGGAUCAGGUAGGAAGACCCGCUGAACUUAAGCAUAUCAAUAAGCGGAGGA